ensembl:misc_RNA
UUGCAAAUUUGUAGAUUCUUUAGAAUAGAACUAACUCAAGCCCUUCAUUCUGCAGCUGAGGCUCACUGCCCCCAGUGGGCAGUGGGUCCAGGGGGUU